rnacentral:rRNA from 1 species
GGUAGGGAUACCCGCUGAACUUAAGCAUAUCAAUAAGCGGAGGAAAAGAAACCAACAGGGAUUGCCCCAGUAACGGCGAGUGAAGCGGCAAGAGCUCAAAUUUGAAAGCUGGCCCCCCCGGGGUCCGCGUUGUAAUUUGCAGAGGAUGCUUCGGAUGCGGCCCCCGUCUAAGUGCCCUGGAAGGGGCCGUCAUAGAGGGUGAGAAUCCCGUCUGGGACGGGGUGUCCGCGUCCGUGUGAAGCUCCUUCGACGAGUCGAGUUGUUUGGGAAUGCAGCUCUAAAUGGGUGGUAAAUUUCAUCUAAAGCUAAAUACUGGCCGGAGACCGAUAGCGCACAAGUAGAGUGAUCGAAAGAUGAAAAGCACUUUGAAAAGAGAGUUAAACAGCACGUGAAAUUGUUGAAAGGGAAGCGUUUGCGACCAGACUCGCCCGCGGGGUUCAGCCGGCACUCGUGCCGGUGUACUUCCCCGCGGGCGGGCCAGCGUCGGUUUGGGCGGCCGGUCAAAGGCCCUCGGAAUGUGUCACCCCCCGGGGUGUCUUAUAGCCGAGGGUGCAAUGCGGCCUGCCCGGACCGAGGAACGCGCUCCGGCUCGGACGCUGGCGUAAUGGUCGCAAAUGACCCGUCUUGAAACACGGACCAAGGAGUCUAACAUCUACGCGAGUGUUCGGGUGUCAAACCCGUACGCGCAGUGAAAGCGAACGGAGGUGGGAGCCCCCCCGGGGGCGCACCAUCGACCGAUCCUGAUGUCUUCGGAUGGAUUUGAGUACGAGCGUAGCUGUGGGGACCCGAAAGAUGGUGAACUAUGCCUGAAUAGGGCGAAGCCAGAGGAAACUCUGGUGGAGGCUCGCAGCGGUUCUGACGUGCAAAUCGAUCGUCGAAUUUGGGUAUAGGGGCGAAAGAUUAAUCGAACCAUCU